rnacentral:misc_RNA from 1 species
GAGUUUAAGAGCUUAGAAGAGGAAGAAGAAGAAGAGAAUGAGUCUUUGGUGAUGGGGGAGCACACGAUCGGGUGCAAUUGUGAGCUGGGAAAGGAGAAGGGCGAGGAACGAACGGAAGUGGUAGGAGAUAUUGAGAAUCGGAUCAGAGACAUCAUGCAAUAGAAAGAAAUGAUCUUGAAUUGUUUGAAAGAAAAUGAAAAUGGGGGUGGAGAUUUGAAGGCGCUCCAGAGAGUACAGGACAG